AGCCAAGUAGCGUGAAGGAUGACUGCCCUAUGGGUUGUAAACUUCUUUUAUAAAGGAAUAAAGUCGGGUAUGUAUACCCGUUUGCAUGUACUUUAUGAAUAAGGAUCGGCUAACUCCGUGCCAGCAGCCGCGGUAAUACGGAGGAUCCGAGCGUUAUCCGGAUUUAUUGGGUUUAAAGGGUGCGUAGGCGGCCUUUUAAGUCAGCGGUGAAAGUCUGUGGCUCAACCAUAGAAUUGCCGUUGAAACUGGGAGGCUUGAGUAUGUUUGAGGCAGGCGGAAUGCGUGGUGUAGCGGUGAAAUGCUUAGAUAUCACGCAGAACCCCGAUUGCGAAGGCAGCCUGCCAAGCCAUGACUGACGCUGAUGCACGAAAGCGUGGGGAUCAAACAGGAUUAGAUACCCUGGUAGUCCACGCAGUAAACGAUGAUCACUAGCUGUUUGCGAUACACUGUAAGCGGCACAGCGAAAGCGUUAAGUGAUCCACCUGGGGAGUACGCCGGCAACGGUGAAACUCAAAGGAAUUGACGGGGGCCCGCACAAGCGGAGGAACAUGUGGUUUAAUUCGAUGAUACGCGAGGAACCUUACCCGGGCUUGAACUGCAGGCGAACGAUACAGAGAUGUUGAGGCCCUUCGGGGCGCCUGUGGAGGUGCUGCAUGGUUGUCGUCAGCUCGUGCCGUGAGGUGUCGGCUUAAGUGCCAUAACGAGCGCAACCCUUGCCACUAGUUACUAACAGGUGAUGCUGAGGACUCUGGUGGGACUGCCAGCGUAAGCUGCGAGGAAGGCGGGGAUGACGUCAAAUCAGCACGGCCCUUACAUCCGGGGCGACACACGUGUUACAAUGGCAUGGACAAAGGGCAGCUACCUGGUGACAGGAUGCUAAUCCCCAAACCAUGUCUCAGUUCGGAUCGGAGUCUGCAACUCGACUCCGUGAAGCUGGAUUCGCUAGUAAUCGCGCAUCAGCCAUGGCGCGGUGAAUACGUUCCCGGGCCUUGUACACACCGCCCGUCAAGCCAUGAAAGCCGGGGGCGCCUAAAGUCCGUGACCGUAAGGAGCGGCCUAGGGCGAAACUGGUAAUUGGGGCUAAGUCGUAACAAGGUAGCCGUACCGGAAGGUGCGGCUG
rnacentral:rRNA from 1 species